AGAGUUUGAUCAGUGGCUACGAGGACGAACGCUGGCGGCGUGCUUAACACAUGCAAGUCGAACGAUGAACCGGAGCUUGCUCCGGGGAUUAGUGGGCGAACGGGUGAGUAACACGUGGGCAACCUGCCCCAGACAUCGGGAUAACCAUUCGAAAGGAUGGCUAAUACCGGAUAUGACCACUUCGGGCAUCCGAUGGUGGUGGAAAGGAUUCUGGUCUGGGAUGGGCCCGCGGCCUAUCAGCUAGUUGGUGGGGUAAUGGCCUACCAAGGCGACGACGGGUAGCCGGCCUGAGAGGGCGACCGGCCACACUGGGACUGAGACACGGCCCAGACUCCUACGGGAGGCAGCAGUGGGGAAUAUUGCGCAAUGGGCGAAAGCCUGACGCAGCGACGCCGCGUGAGGGACGAAGGUCUUCGGAUUGUAAACCUCUUUCAGCAGGGACGAAGCGAAAGUGACUGUACCUGCAGAAGAAGCACCGGCUAACUACGUG
rnacentral:rRNA from 1 species